rnacentral:rRNA from 2 species
AGACCCGAAACCCGGUGAUCUAGCCAUGGGCAGGUUGAAGGUUGGGUAACACUAACUGGAGGACCGAACCGACUAAUGUUGAAAAAUUAGCGGAUGACCUGUGGCUGGGGGUGAAAGGCCAAUCAAACCGGGAGAUAGCUGGUUCUCCCCGAAAGCUAUUUAGGUAGCGCCUCGUGAAUUCAUCUCCGGGGGUAGAGCACUGUUUCGGCUAGGGGGCCAUCCCGGCUUACCAACCCGAUGCAAACUGCGAAUACCGGAGAAUGUUAUCACGGGAG